GACGGGGGGGGCAAGUGUUCUUCGGAAUUACUGGGCGUAAAGCGCACGUAGGCGGCUCUUUAAGUCGGAGGUGAAAUCCUGGAGCUCAACUCCAGAACUGCCUUCGAUACUGAAGAGCUCGAGUCCGGGAGAGGUGAGUGGAACUGCGAGUGUAGAGGUGAAAUUCGUAGAUAUUCGCAAGAACACCAGUGGCGAAGGCGGCUCACUGGCCCGGUACUGACGCUGAGGUGCGAAAGCGUGGGGAGCAAACAGG
rnacentral:rRNA from 1 species